CAAGCCUGAUGCAGCGACGCCGCGUGCGGGAUGACGGCCUUCGGGUUGUAAACCGCUUUUGACUGGGAGCAAGCCCUUCGGGGUGAGUGUACCUUUCGAAUAAGCACCGGCUAACUACGUGCCAGCAGCCGCGGUAAUACGUAGGGUGCAAGCGUUAUCCGGAAUUAUUGGGCGUAAAGGGCUCGUAGGCGGUUCGUCGCGUCCGGUGUGAAAGUCCAUCGCUUAACGGUGGAUCCGCGCCGGGUACGGGCGGGCUUGAGUGCGGUAGGGGAGACUGGAAUUCCCGGUGUAACGGUGGAAUGUGUAGAUAUCGGGAAGAACACCAAUGGCGAAGGCAGGUCUCUGGGCCGUCACUGACGCUGAGGAGCGAAAGCGUGGGGAGCGAACAGGAUUAGAUACCCUGGUAGUCCACGCCGUAAACGGUGGAUGCUGGAUGUGGGGACCAUUCCACGGUCUCCGUGUCGGAGCCAACGCGUUAAGCAUCCCGCCUGGGGAGUACGGCCGCAAGGCUAAAACUCAAAGAAAUUGACGGGGGCCCGCACAAGCGGCGGAGCAUGCGGAUUAAUUCGAUGCAACGCGAAGAACCUUACCUGGGCUUGACAUGUUCCCGACAGCCGUAGAGAUACGGUCUCCCUUCGGGGCGGGUUCACAGGUGGUGCAUGGUCGUCGUCAGCUCGUGUCGUGAGAUGUUGGGUUAAGUCCCGCAACGAGCGCAACCCCCGCCCUGUGUUGCCAGCACGUCGUGGUGGGAACUCACGGGGGACCGCCGGGGUCAACUCGGAGGAAGGUGGGGAUGACGUCAGAUCAUCAUGCCCCUUACGUCCAGGGCUUCACGCAUGCUACAAUGGCCGGUACAACGGGAUGCGACACCGCGAGGUGGAGCGGAUCCCUUAAAACCGGUCUCAGUUCGGAUUGGAGUCUGCAACCCGACUCCAUGAAGGCGGAGUCGCUAGUAAUCGCGGAUCAGCAACGCCGCGGUGAAUGCGUUCCCGGGCCUUGUACACACCGCCCGUCAAGUCAUGAAAGUGGGUAGCACCCGAAGCCGGUGGCCCAACCUUUUGGGGGGAGCCGUCUAAGGUGAGACUCGUGAUUGGGACUAAGUCGUAACAAGGUAGCCGUACCGGAAGGUGCGGCUG
rnacentral:rRNA from 1 species